rnacentral:lncRNA from 1 species
GAGAAUGGGACGGGUCACGGACGGGGCAUCCUUCCUGGAAGAUCCAUUCAAGAAAAUAUGAGCGCGACUGAGGUAGAGGAACAAAAAUGAGAAGUGGUAAAUAAAAUCGCCUAAUUGGUUUAAUAGACGAUCAUCCUUCUGGAUCGUCAUUUUACAUAAACAAGGCGCUUCUACUGGCGCAGGGAGUGAAUUGGAGGUUGGGGUGAUCGAUUUAUCGUCGAUUCAGAGCAAUACCCCUCUUCCUAUGGUCGUAUUUGUUGGGUUUAAUACAUUUCGCAUAUCAUCAGUAUCUCAUUCCUAUAGUAUAAAAAAAGAUUAAAUCUCAGCGGAUUGUGAUAGCAAGA